CCUACGGGGAGCAGCAGUAGGGAAUAUUGCUCAAUGGGGGAAACCCUGAAGCAGCAACGCCGCGUGGAGGAUGAAGGUUUUCGGAUUGUAAACUCCUUUUGUUAGAGAAGAUAAUGACGGUAUCUAACUAAUAAGCAACGGCUAACACCGUGCCAGCAGCCGCGGUAAUACGGAGGAUGCAAGCGUUAUUCGGAAUCACUGGGUGUAAAGAGGGCGUAGGCGGGCUAAUAGGUCAGAUGUGAAAUCCUAAGGCUUAACCUCAGAACUGCAUUUGAAACUGUUCGUCUAGAGUUUGGGUGUGGUAGGUGGAAUGCUUGGUGUAGCGGUAAAAUCCGUAGAGAUC
rnacentral:rRNA from 1 species